AAAAUGGAUUGUAAGACAGCGCUGAUACUUUUGACUGUCUGCUGUGCAGGUGUUGAUGGUCAGACUCUUACAGAGUCUGAACCAGCAGUUAAAAGUCCUGGAGAGUCACACAGGCUGACCUGUACAGCCUCUGGAUUCACAUUCAGCAGCUCCUGGAUGGUCUGGGUCAGACAGGCUCCUGGAAAAGGACUGGAGUGGAUUGCGUUCAUUUACUCUGAUAGUAGUGGCAGCUUCUACUCUCAGUCAGUCAGAGGCCGGUUCACCAUCUCCAGAGACAACAGCAAACAGCAGCUGUAUCUGCAGAUGAACAGUCUGAAGACUGAAGAUUCUGCUGUUUAUUAUUGUGCUCGAGAGCCACAGUGA